rnacentral:rRNA from 1 species
UACGGGGGGAGCAAGCGUUGUUCGGAUUUACUGGGCGUAAAGGGCGCGUAGGCGGCCACCGCAAGUCAGUUGUGAAAUCUCUGGGCUUAACCCAGAAAGGUCAACUGAUACUGCGGGGCUAGAGUGCAGAAGGGGCAACUGGAAUUCUCGGUGUAGCGGUGAAAUGCGUAGAUAUCGAGAGGAACACCUGCGGCGAAGGCGGGUUGCUGGGCUGACACUGACGCUGAUGUGCGAAAGCGUGGGGAGCAAACAGG